UAGGGAAUCUUCGGCAAUGGGGGGAACCCUGACCGAGCAACGCCGCGUGAGUGAAGAAGGUUUUCGGAUCGUAAAGCUCUGUUGUUAAGGAAGAACGAGUGUGAGAAUGGAAAGUUCAUACUGUGACGGUACUUAACCAGAAAGGGACGGCUAAUUACGUGCCAGCAGCCGCGGUAAUACGUAAGGUCCGAGCGUUGUCCGGAAUCAUUGGGCGUAAAGGGUACGUAGGCGGGUAAGCAAGUUAGAAGUGAAAUCCUGUAGCUCAACUACAGUAAGCUUUUAAAACUGCUCAUCUUGAGAUAUGGAAGGGAAAGUGGAAUUCCUAGUGUAGCGGUGAAAUGCGCAGAUAUUAGGAGGAACACCGGUGGCGAAAGCGGCUCUCUGGUCUGUAACUGACGCUGAGGCUCGAAAGCGUGGGGAGCGAACAGG
rnacentral:rRNA from 1 species